UGAUGAGCUCCAUUUGAUUGGGGGUCAAGGUGGCCCAAUCUUGGAAAUCAUUGUCUCCAGGAUGCGGUACAUUGCUAGUCAGCUGGAGAACAAAAUCCGCAUUGUCGCACUGUCAACUUCUCUUGCGAAUGCCAAGGAUUUGGGGGAAUGGAUUGGUGCCACAUCUCAUGGUCUUUUCAAUUUUCCUCCUGGCGUUAGGCCGGUGCCUCUGGAAAUUCACAUUCAGGGUAUUGACAUUGCUAAUUUUGAAGCCAGGAUGCAAGCUAUGACAAAACCUACUUACACUGCAAUUGUGCAGCAUGCUAAGAAUGGAAAACCUGCAAUUGUGUUUGUUCCCACCAGAAAGCAUGCCCGUCUCACUGCUGUGGAUCUGAUGACAUAUUCGAGUGUGGACAGUGAGCAAAAACCCUUGUUCCUAUUAAAGUCUGCAGAAGAGCUGGAGCCAUUUGUUGCCAACAUCAAGGAACCUAUGUUGAAGGAGACAAUUCAAUUUGGUGUCGGUUAUUUGCAUGAGGGUCUAAGCAGUACAGAUCAGGAUAUAGUGAAAACACUUUUUGAAACAGGGUGGAUUCAAGUCUGUGUAAUGAGCAGCUCGAUGUGUUGGGGAGUCCCACUGUCUGCGCAUCUGGUAGUGGUUAUGGGUACACAGUAUUAUGAUGGCAGGGAAAAUGCUCACACUGAUUAUCCUGUCACUGAUUUGUUGCAGAUGAUGGGUCAUGCCAGUCGACCUCUUGUAGACAACUCUGGAAAAUGUGUCAUCCUUUGUCAUGCACCACGUAAAGAAUAUUAUAAGAAGUUUCUGUAUGAAGCCUUCCCAGUGGAAAGCCAUUUACAUCAUUAUCUGCAUGAUAAUCUAAAUGCGGAGGUGGUUGUGGGAGUCAUACAAAACAAGCAGGAUGCAGUAGACUACCUAACUUGGACAUUUAUGUACAGAAGACUCACGCAGAAUCCGAACUAUUAUAAUCUUCAGGGUGUCAGUCACAGGCAUCUUUCUGAUCAUCUCUCGGAGCUCGUGGAGAACACUAUCAGUGAUCUGGAAGCAAGUAAAUGUGUGGCUAUUGAGGAUGAAUUUUUGUUGUCACCUCUGAAUCUUGGCAUGAUUGCCUCAUAUUAUUACAUCAGUUACACCACAAUCGAGCGUUUUAGUUCUUCUCUGACUUCUAAAACAAAGUUGAAGGGUCUUUUGGAAAUUUUGGCCUCAGCUUCAGAGUAUGAACAGCUUCCAAUAAGACCUGGUGAAGACGAGUUGAUACGUAGGUUAAUCAAUCACCAGCGCUUCUCCUUUGAGAACCCAAAGUACACGGAUCCAAACGUGAAGGCAAAUGCUCUAUUACAAGCUCAUUUCUCUAGGCAAACGAUAGGUGGAAACUUGGCUUCUGACCAACAAGAGGUGCUAAUUUAUGCAAGCAGACUGCUUCAGGCCAUGGUUGAUGUUAUUUCAAGCAAUGGAUGGCUUAACCUGGCCCUCCUUGCCAUGGAAGUGAGUCAGAUGGUAACCCAAGGAAUGUGGGAACGCGACUCUAUGCUCCUCCAACUGCCUCACUUCACAAAGGAAUUGGCCAAGAGGUGCCAGGAAAAUCCUGGGAAAAGUAUUGAGACAGUCUUUGAUCUGGUGGAGAUGGAGGAUGAUGAAAGGCGAGACCUCCUGCAAAUGUCAGACUCACAGUUGAUGGAUAUUGCUCGAUUUUGUAAUCGUUUUCCAAACAUUGAUUUAACUUAUGAGGUUCUGGAUAGUGAUAAUGUGGGAGCUGGAGAAGAUGUUAGUGUGCAUGUGAGUCUUGAACGAGAUCUUGAAGGAAGGAUAGAAGUUGGACCUGUGGAUGCACCUAGAUAUCCUAAAUCAAAAGAAGAAGGGUGGUGGCUGGUGGUUGGUGAUACUAAAACUAAUCAAUUGCUUGCUAUCAAAAGAGUUGCUCUUCAGAGGAAGUCCAGGGUGAAACUUGACUUCACUGCCCCUGCAGAACCUGGAAAGAAGACAUACACACUGUAUUUCAUGUGUGAUUCUUAUCUAGGGUGUGAUCAGGAGUAUAGCUUCACUGUGGAUGUGAAGGAGGCAGCAAAUAUGGAAGAGGAUAGUUGAAGACGAUGAGCGAUGCCAAGCAAAACUGUGAUGACUGGAUCUUCAUUACGUUAAAUCAUUUUACUAGAGAAGCCUAUAUACUCAUGUUGAUCGAGUGGAAUCAAUUGUUUGAUUGUGCGGCAUCAAUUGCCAAAAGGCUUGAGAAUGGACACCCUUUCUAGGGAGAUAAAGCAGUCUUGUCCAAGAAAAUGCUUGAAAGAUCUUCAACCUCAGUGAUUUUUGAGGCAUAAAUUUAAGACUUUGGUUUGCUGAGCUACCUGCGAAGAAUGCAAGUGCUAAUAGAGAUAGUGGUGUUGGGCCGAUGAGAUGUGUACAACACCUACUUGGCCACUGCUGUUUCUCUUGUAAUAAUGGGGUCAUUUUGGAUGAAUGUAGGCGUAAAUGUGACGUAUGUUGUAGACUGGUAUCAUCCUACUAGUUUUCUAAUAGCUCUUUAUUUCUGGUUACAUUGACGUUCAAUAGCUCGUAACUUGCUCUUGUUGUAUUGAGAAUCUGGGAUUUGAAGAAUUUGUUUCUGCAAUUGCAAUCUAAUUAACUUUUAUGUC